rnacentral:lncRNA from 1 species
AGUUCCUCGGAAAAGAUAAAUCGAAAUUUAUUUACACAGUAUACAUGUACGUUGAGUGAGUGCUAUCGGGGCUGCGGAGACAAGUUGAUAAGAUCUGUGAAAUACCUGUAGUAUACAUUAUACUUAUACUGAGACGCGAUAAGAGAGAAUAAAAGGGGAAGAAAGACGCUCUUGGCCAAAAAAUACAUGCCCGUAAGCCUCGGUGGCGCUCGUUACUCAGCCGUUGGUAAACAAAGCCGAUCGUAAAACUCCGGGGGUCUAUGACUACACGCGGCGGCGAUCCGUCGGGAGCAGAUACUCGGCUAACAAUGAGCGUUUGCAAAGGCUGCCACGCGAUGACUGAGCACGUGUGGGACUGGGGACAAUUGAUAUACAUAUAUGUAGUCCGAAGUCUGUCCUACGUCGCGCGUUGUUACAUCGCCACCCGGUAAUAGAGGGCAAAUUUGUUUAAGUUGAUUGCUGCGCGGUUCACUGUACAGACAAUGAGAAAAUUUAAAUAUACACGUCCAUUAUUAUCCGUAUCUUAAUUAUUAUUACUUUUUUUCAUCUUUUAUAUUUGUCUUACAACAAAAUUGAGUGUAUCGUUCGUGAUGUUAUCUUUCGUACUUUGAUGACAAGUUUUUCGUAGAACACAUAAGGUAUACCGCAAUGCAUCGUGCAUAUCAGUUCGCUGUUUCACUGUUAUUUGUAAUGUAAUAUUUUCUGGUUUUAUUUAUUCUUGUUGUUGUACACCUUCGGAUGCACCAACAAUGCUUAUGUUUUGAAGAACAAUAAAACGGCGACGCCCCUGUUUUUUC